AUACCUUUCUCAGCUUCUUGGCUAAGAUCAAAUGUAAUAUCUGUUCUUAUCAGUUUAAUAUCUGAUACAUGCAUCUACGGAUUUAUGAGAUAUUAAGUUAAUUUUUCUGUGGGGGAGAAUCCGCCUAUUGGCCGUUCUCAUGCGUCGUCCAAGCGUUGCACUAUUGAUUGUUGACUUGACCCAU
rfam:Triticum aestivum genome assembly, contig: Triticum_aestivum_CS42_TGACv1_scaffold_081416_1DS